CAGUCGCCACGGUAAUACGAAGGGGGCUAGCGUUGCUCGGAAUCACUGGGCGUAAAGGGUGCGUAGGCGGGUCUUUAAGUCAGGGGUGAAAUCCUGGAGCUCAACUCCAGAACUGCCUUUGAUACUGAAGAUCUUGAGUUCGGGAGAGGUGAGUGGAACUGCGAGUGUAGAGGUGAAAUUCGUAGAUAUUCGCAAGAACACCAGUGGCGAAGGCGGCUCACUGGCCCGAUACUGACGCUGAGGCACGAAAGCGUGGGGAGCAAGCGGGAUUAGAUACCCGCGUAGUCCCUGUCUCUUAUAC
rnacentral:rRNA from 1 species